GAUGAACGCUAGCGGCAGGCCUAACACAUGCAAGUCGAGGGAGAAGCCCUUUCGGGGGCAGAAACCGGCGCACGGGUGCGUAACGCGUAUGCAACCUACCUUUCACAGGGGGAUAGCCCGAAGAAAUUUGGAUUAAUACCCCAUAAUAUUAUUGGAUGGCAUCAUUUGAUAAUUAAAACUGCGGUGGUGAAAGAUGGGCAUGCGUCCUAUUAGCUAGUUGGAGUGGUAACGGCACCCCAAGGCUACGAUAGGUAGGGGUCCUGAGAGGGAGAUCCCCCACACUGGUACUGAGACAGGGACCAGACUCCUACGGGAGGCAGCAGUGAGGAAUAUUGGUCAAUGGUCGGAAGACUGAACCAGCCAUGCCGCGUGCAGGAAGAAUGCCUUAUGGGUUGUAAACUGCUUUUAUAUGGGAAGAAUAAGGCGUACGUGUACGUUGAUGACGGUACCAUAUGAAUAAGCAUCGGCCAACUCCGUG
rnacentral:rRNA from 1 species